rnacentral:rRNA from 1 species
UACGAAGGUGGCAAGCGUUGUUCGGAAUUACUGGGCGUAAAGCGCGUGUAGGCGGCUCUUCAAGUCAGGCGUGAAAGCCCUGAGCUCAACUCAGGAACUGCGUUUGAUACUGUCGAGCUAGAGUGUGGAAGGGGCAAUCGGAAUUCCGUGUGUAGCGGUGAAAUGCGUAGAUAUACGGAGGAACACCAGAGGCGAAGGCGGAUUGCUGGGCCAACACUGACGCUGAGACGCGAAAGCCAGGGUAGCAAAC